UUUACCCGAAAGAAUGGUGAACUAUGCCUGAGCAGGAUAAAGCCAGAGGAAACUCUGGUGGAAGUCCGAAGCGGUUCUGACGUGCAAAUCGAUCGUCUGACUUGGGUAUAGGGGCGAAAGACUAAUCGAACUAUCUAGUAGCUGGUUCCCUCUGAAAUUUCCCCCAGGAUAGCUGGUAUUUGUAUUAUGCAAUUAUAUUCGGUAAAGCGAAUGAUUAGAUGCCGAAGGGUCGAAAUGACCUUAACCUAUUCUCAAACUUUUAAUGGGUAUGAUGUCUCGCUUUCUCAACUUGCCUCUGAAGCGUGGACAUGGAAUGCAUAAAUACCUAGUGGGCCGUUUUUGGUAAGCAGAACCGGUGAUGUGGAAUGAACCAAACGUAAGGUUAAGGUGCCUAACUUUCCGCUCAUGAGAUCCCAUAAAAGGCGUUGGUUGAUAUAGACAGCAGGACGGUGGCCAUGGAAGUCGGAAACCGCUAAGGAGUGUGUAACAACUCACCUGCCGAAUCAACUAGCCCUGAAAAUGGAUGGCGCUUGAGCGGAAGACCUAUACCUUACCGUUGCUAUGCUUGUACGUAUUAAUCAAAAACUGGUUGAUACGCCUGGCUGCAACGAGUAAGAGGGACGUAAUGGUUAGCGUUGAAGGUUUUAGGCGUAGGCCUAGCUGGAGCUUCCAUUAGUGCAGAUCUUGGUGGUAGUAGCAAAUAUUCAAGUGAGAUCCUUGAAGACUGAAGUGGAGAAGGGUUCCACGUGAACAGCAGUUGAAUGUGGGUCAAUCGAUCCUAAGAUAGGGGCGAAAGCUUUUUUGAAACAAGUGGUGGAGAUUGCCUCAAAUCCAUCUUGUUUGAAUCGAAAGGGAAACGGGUUAAUAUUCCCGUAUCUAGACACGGAGAGAGUGCUUCCAUUGUGGGCACUUAGCGCGGUAACGCAAAUGAACUUGGAGAUGUUGACAAAAGCCCGAGCCAGAGUUCUCUUUUCUGGUUUAGGAACGGAUUCCCUGGAAACGGUUCAGCCGGCGAUAGGGAUAUUGUUUCCGUAAAGCAUCACGGCUUCUGUGGUGUCUCGUGCGCUUUUUGCCGACCCUUGAAAAUCCAAGGAAAGCUAUUCGAAUUUCGUGCUAGAUCGUACCAAUAUCCGCAUCAGGUCUCCAAGGUGAACAGCCUCUAGUCGAUAGAAUAAUGUAGAUAAGGGAAGUCGGCAAAUUUGAUCCGUACCUUCGGAAAAAGGAUUGGCUCUUAGAACUAGGCUAUUCGGGCUUUAACGUGAAGCAGGUGUAGCCCAUACCGUGCAGUGCAUUGUAUUGCUAGAUUUCGGUUUAGUGAUUGAUGUUCGGCUGGUUGUAUGGGUUAUCUUGUGGACCGGUCUAGCUAUGCUCGAUUACUUGCCCAUGUGACAGGUAAUCAAUGAGCGUCGAGUAGCGUUAAAUAGUUAACUUAGAACUGGCGCAGACACUGGGAAUCCGACUGUCUAAUUAAAACAGAGGCGAUAGAUGGUCCUUGAUGGACGUUGACUAUCGCUGAUUUCUGCCCAGUGCUCUGAAUGUGAAAGUGAAGUAAUUCAAUUAAGCUCGGGUAAACGGCGGGAGUAACUAUGACUCUCUUAAGGUAGCCAAAUGCCUCGUCACUCAAUUGCUGACGCGCACGAAUGGAUUAACGAGAUUCCCACUGUCCCUAACUACUAUCUAGCGAAACCACAGCCAAGGGAACGGGCUUGGCAAACACAGCGGGGAAAGAAGACCCUGUUGAGCUUGACUCUAGUUUGACUUUGUGAAAAAUCAUGAGAGGUGUAGCAUAGGUGGAAGGUUACUUCGGUAGCCAAAAGAGAAAUACCACUACUUUCAUCGAUUCUUUACUUAUUCGGUAAGACGAGAAUUGAGCCUGUCUAAAACAGACUCUUAUUUCUGGUGUUAAGUAAAGCCACUCGGUGGCUAUAUGACUCGCGCUGAAGAAAGUGUCAGGCGGGGAGUUUGACUGGGGCGGUACAUCUGUCAAACAAUAACGCAGGUGUCCUAAGGCUAGCUCAGAGAGGACAGAAACCUCUCGUAGAGUAAAAGGGCAAAAGCUUACUUGACCUUGAUUCUCAGUACGAAUACAGACCGCGAAAGCGAGGCCUAUGGAUCCUUUUAAAUUAGAAGGUCUCUAGUAAGAGGUGUCAGGAAAGUA
rnacentral:rRNA from 1 species